rnacentral:rRNA from 1 species
UACGUAGGGGGCAAGCGUUAUCCGGAUUUACUGGGUGUAAAGGGAGUGUAGACGGUAAUGUAAGUCUGAUGUGAAAGCCCGGGGCUCAACCCCGGGACUGCAUUGGAAACUAUGUAACUAGAGUACCGGAGAGGUAAGCGGAAUUCCUAGUGUAGCGGUGAAAUGCGUAGAUAUUAGGAGGAACACCAGUGGCGAAGGCGGCUUACUGGAUGGAAACUGACGUUGAGGCUCGAAAGCGUGGGGAGCAAACAGG